rnacentral:rRNA from 1 species
UACCAGCACCCCGAGUGGUCGGGACGAUUAUUGGGCCUAAAGCAUCCGUAGCCGGUUCUACAAGUCUUCCGUUAAAUCCACCUGCUUAACAGAUGGGCUGCGGAGGAUACUAUAGAGCUAGGAGGCGGGAGAGGCAAGCGGUACUUAGUGGGUAGGGGUAAAAUCCGUUGAUCCAGUGAAGACCACCAGUGGCGAAGGCGGCUUGCCAGAACGCACCCGACGGUGAGGGAUGAAAGCUGGGGGAGCAAACCGG